rnacentral:rRNA from 1 species
CCUACGGGUGGCAGCAGUGGGGAAUAUUGCACAAUGGGGGAAACCCUGAUGCAGCGACGCCGCGUGAGUGAAGAAGUAAUUCGUUACGUAAAGCUCUAUCAGCAGGGAAGAAACACUGACCUUACGGUCAGCAGACGGUACCUGAGUAAGAAGCCCCGGCUAACUACGUGCCAGCAGCCGCGGUAAUACGUAGGGGGCAAGCGUUAUCCGGAUUUACUGGGUGUAAAGGGGGCGUAGACGGUGCGCCAAGUCUGGAGUGAAAUGCCGAAGCCUAACUUAGGAACUGCUUUGGAAACUGGCGAACUAGAGUGCGGGAGGGGUAAGCGGAAUUCCUAGUGUAGCGGUGAAAUGCGUAGAUAUUAGGAGGAACACCGGUGGCGAAGGCGGCUUACUGGACCGUAACUGACGUUGAGGCUCGAAAGCGUGGGGAGCAAACAGGAUUAGAUACCCCUGUAGUC